GGGCGCGUAGCUCAGCGGUAGAGCACACGACUUUUAAUCGCGAGGUCCUGGGUUCGAAUCCCAGCGCGCUCA
rnacentral:tRNA from 1 species